rnacentral:tRNA from 1 species
GGUGCGUUGUCCGAACGGUCAGGUAACGGUCUGCAAAACCGUUCAAGGCGGUUCGACUCCGCCACGCACCUCCA